GAUCCACAGGCAAUGGGAAGAAGCAGCAGAAUCAUUUCAUGCUUUUUGAUUUUUGAUGACAGUCUUGUCAUCAAAAGUAAAUGCUCUGUGUUGUCCUCUUUACCUUGAUGGCCUCACUGUCCUUACAACACCCCUGGCAAGGUGGUUUUAUUAUUUGAUGUGGGGACAUCUGGAAAUCAGAGAAGGAGGGAGGUAGGAUGUGAUUGACCUUUAAGAGUACUUUGUCUCCGAGUGACUAUUAUAAACACAAAGAUGGGGGGCUUCCCUGGUGGCUCAGUGGUAGAGAAUCUGCCUACCAAUGCAGGAGACGUGGGUUCGAUCCCCGAUCUAGGAAGACCCCGCAUGCUGAAGAGCAACUAAGCCUGUGUGCCAAAACCGCUGAGGCUGUGCUCUUGAGCCUGGGAACUCCAACUGCAGAGCCCAUGUGCCGCAACUACUGAAGCCUAUGCGCCUAGAGUCCGUUCACUGCAACAGGAGAAGCCACCGAAAUGAGAAGCCCGCACAUCGCCACUAGAGAGUAGCCUGCAUAGCAACAAAGACCCAGCACAGCCAAAAAUAACCUCUUUGAUUGCACAGGCAAACCUGCAAGACGAGAGAUGCAGAAACACCCAUACCUCCAUGGCCUAAAAACAGAUUAGAAGACAGACGGAAGCUUGUGACCCUACAUAGCAAAAUAGCGCUGUGCUCACUGGCCCUGGAGCCCUGCACUCCGCAGCCAUGCUGAGUAGCUGAUGAGAUGCGCACCCAGCUUGAACGUCAGACGCCCCAAGGCCCUGCAGCCUCGUCUGCCUGCUGUACUGCUGCCAUUUGCACCCUGUGGGUCCUUCCUGGAGGUGGAGCGACCCCUUCCCCUCCUCUGGGCCUGGAGGAGGGAGCAACCUGACUGAUGACACCCCCCUCCCCCAAAGCUCCUUUUAGAGUGGGCUGUAGCUUAGCAACCUGCACCCCUGACAACUGAUUUACUGGAGAAAAGCUUGACUUUCUCCAAGCAGGUUUUCUUUUUCUUCCUUUCUCUUUUCUUUUCCUUCUUUUCAAACAAUCAGACCUUGACUAUGACGAGGUCCUUGUGGAUUUCUCCGGGAGAUGCUGGUUUUACCGUGCCUGGCUUGCUUGGACUCCUGCAUGGACACCAGCUUUCUCCCCAGUCUUCUAGCUUCAGGUCUGACCCCAGUCCCUCCUCCAUGUUGUAGACAGAUUACUCUUUCUAGAGUUCAGUUCUCAUAGGCUUCCUCUCUUGUUUAAAAUCCUUUGAUAGCUCCCAAGAGAAGUAUGCCUACAAGGCCACUCAGCAAUGAGCCCUGCCUAGUAAAUGUUACCCAUCCUUUGUCACGCCAUCACAUCCUCUGGAUUGGAUUUUAAUUUUUUCUUGCUUCCAGAUCCUUGAAUCUGCUGUUUCCUCUGCUUGGAAAGCCUUGCUUCUUCUUACUUACUUGUGAAAUGUUCUUCGAGAAUCAGCUUAAACAUUAGCAUCUCUGUGAACCUUCCCUGACCAGUUCCCAGGCAGAACUGACCACCCCUGUCUUUGCUUCAGAGGGUUAUGGAUGGAAUUGCCCCUUGACUGUGAACUCCUGGAGGGCAGGGAGUAGUUCUCAUCCCCCAACAUGUGGCCAGUGCCCAGCACAGUGCCUGACACAUAGGUGGUGAGCCACAUGUCACCAAAUGUGUGAGUGAGGGAUAC
ensembl:lncRNA